rnacentral:pre_miRNA from 1 species
CUCCUACUCCCUCCGUACGGAAUUACUUGUCUCAAAAAUGGAUGUAUCUAGAUACAUCCAUUUUUGAGACAAGUAAUUCCGUACGGAGGGAGUACCUC